rnacentral:pre_miRNA from 1 species
UCUUAUGGAUGAGCAAAGAAAGUAGUUUCUUGAAGGAAUCUAUUCCUGCUGAAGAUGCUGUGAA